rnacentral:rRNA from 1 species
AUUGAACGCUGGCGGCAUGCCUUACACAUGCAAGUCGAACGGCAGCACGGGUGCUUGCACCUGGUGGCGAGUGGCGAACGGGUGAGUAAUACAUCGGAACGUACCUUAUCGUGGGGGAUAACGCAGCGAAAGCUGUGCUAAUACCGCAUACGCCCUGAGGGGGAAAGCGGGGGAUCGCAAGACCUCGCGCGAUUAGAGCGGCCGAUGCCUGAUUAGCUUGUUGGUGGGGUAAAAGCCCACCAAGGCGACGAUCAGUAGCUGGUCUGAGAGGACGUUCAGCCACACUGGGACUGAGACACGGCCCAAACUCCUACGGGAGGCAGCAGUGGGUAAUUGUGGACAAUGGAGGCAACCCUGAACCAGCAAUGCCGCGUGAGUGAAGAAGGCCUUCGGGUUGUAAAGCUCUUUUGUCAGGGAAGAAACACCGGCUCUAACACAGUCCGGGAAUGACGGUACCUGAAGAAUAAGCACCGGCUAACUACGUGCCAGCCGCCGCGGUAA